rnacentral:rRNA from 1 species
CACCGCGGUUAUACGAGAGGCUCAAGUUGACAAAUGCCGGCGUAAAAUGUGGUUGAUACAAUACUGAACUAAAGCUAAACAUCUUCAAAGCUGUUAUACCCUUACGAAGACAGGAGGCACCUCUACGAAAGUGGCUUUAAACAAUAUUACUCCACGAAAGCUAGGAAA